rnacentral:tRNA from 1 species
AAGCGGAUAUAUAGCGGCCCGAUUAAACGGACUUUUAAUCCGUUGGUCGCAGGUUCGAAUCCUGCACGGCCUACCA